GUCGAGCGAGAAAGGGGCUUCGGCCCUGAGUAAAGCGGCGGACGGGUGCGUAACACGUGGAUAAUCUGCCCUUUAGUGGGGAACAACAGUCCGAAAGGAUUGCUAAUGCCGCAUGUCACGGCAGGGACCCUGGUCCCGGUCGGAAAAGAGGGCGCCCGCAAGGGGCUCUCGCUAAAGGAUGAGUCCGCGGCCCAUCAGCUAGUUGGCGGGGUAACAGCCCACCAAGGCUUUGACGGGUAGCUGGUCUGAGAGGAUGACCAGCCACACUGGGACUGAGACACGGCCCAGACUCCUACGGGAGGCAGCAGUGGGGAAUAUUGGGCAAUGGGCGAAAGCCUGACCCAGCCAUGCCGCGUGAGUGAUGAAGGCCCUCGGGUCGUAAAGCUCUGUGGGAAGGGACGAAAAAAUCGGACCUAAUACGUCCGAGCUUGACGGUACCUUCUUAGCAAGCACCGGCUAACUCCGUGCCAGCAGCCGCGGUAAUACGGAGGGUGCAAACGUUGCUCGGAAUCAUUGGGCGUAAAGCGCACGUAGGCGGUUCGCUAUGUCGGAUGUGAAAGCCCUCGGCUUAACCGAGGAAGUGCAUCCGA
rnacentral:rRNA from 1 species